GGGUGGCAGGGAUGCACAAAUUUCUCAAUCUGCAAUCAAUUUCAUCAAGCAGUCAAUUGGGAUGGACAGUACAGUUGCUCAUAAUCUGAAGGCGGCUGAAGGUUUUAUAAGUAGAGAUAUUUCAGAGGAUUCGAGUAAAAUUGAAAAGGAUUGUUUUCAAAUUGUAUUCGUCAUCUUUGUCAUGGGCUAUUUGAUAGCACCGUGUACCAAGCAUGACACCAUGACCAUUGAUUUCUGGGGUGCUCUGGCCAAUCCAGAAUUGAUCCCGCAGUUCAAUUGGUGUGAGUAUGCUAUGCAGAAAUUGAUGUCAGCUGUUGUGAAGUUGCAGAAUGAUUAUCAAAGCAAAGCAGCAACGGUUCAUAUGUUUGCGUGCCACCUUUUUUUCCAGCUUUUCUUGCUGGACAACAUUGACCUUGGAUUGUUCAAUAUGCCGCCAUCUGAAUUGCCCCGCGUGCAGUGCUUCGAAUAGAAAAGGUUUCGGAAGAUGAUCAUAAUGGCUUAUGGCAUGAAGCACGGGAAGUGGGGUUAUGUCCCUGCAGGGGUGCGGCCUGCGGAGCUAGUUAUGUACACGCGGCCAGACACGACGUGCCAAGGAUGCAUUGACUACCAUGUAUCAUCAGGUUCAGUGAAGCAAUCAGUUCCAAGGGUGCCUAAUAGAGUGGACCAAUGGACUUCGGAUUUGGGUGUGCAUGCAACGACGGCACCAGAUGACUAUUUGGGUGAUGUGAGGUCGGCAUAUCAUUCACGUGAGCCAAGGGAU